GAUGAACGCUGGCGGUAUGCUUAACACAUGCAAGUCGAACGGACUCUUCGGAGUUAGUGGCGGACGGGUGAGUAACGCGUGAGAAUCUGGCUUUGGGUUCGGGACAACCACUGGAAACGGUGGCUAAUACCGGAUGUGCCGAGAGGUAAAAGAGAAAUUGCCUGAAGAUGAGCUCGCGUCUGAUUAGCUAGUUGGUGAGGUAAAGGCUCACCAAGGCAGCGAUCAGUAGCUGGUCUGAGAGGAUGACCAGCCACACUGGGACUGAGACACGGCCCAGACUCACGGGGGGGGAAGAAGGGGGAAAUUUCCCGAAAGGGGGAAAGGCCUGAGGACAAAAUCCGGGGGGGGGAAAAAGGGCUUUUGGGUUAAAACCUUUUUUUCUGAGGAAAAAAAAAAAGGAGGUUACCUAAGAAAAAAGCGUCGACAAACUCGGGG
rnacentral:rRNA from 1 species